UACGGAGGGAGCAAGCGUUACUCGGAAUUAUUGGGCGUAAAGGGCGCGUAGGCGAUUUGAAAAGUCUUGUGUGAAAGCCCCGAGCUUAACUCGGGAAGUGCACAAGAAACUGUUGAAUUUGAGUUCCGGAGAGGAAGGCAGAAUUCCCGGUGUAGCGGUGAAAUGCGUAGAUAUCGGGAGGAAUACCAGUGGCGAAGGCAGCCUUCUGGACGGAUACUGACGCUGAGGCGCGAAAGCCAGGGGAGCAAACGGG
rnacentral:rRNA from 1 species